GUUGUAUUAAUGCACCCAUCAUAUUAUUUACUCUGUUCCAAAUUAUAGGUUAAUUUAGCUUUUUCUUAAGUCAAACUUUUCUAAUUUUGACAAUUUUAGAAAAUAUAUUAACAUCUACAAGUUCAAAUAAAUGCAAUACCAACUACCAAACAUAUUUCAUGGAGGAUUUAAUGAAACAAACUUGAUGUUGUAGAUGUUGAUGCAUCUUUCUGUAAACUUGGUCAAAGAUAAGUUUGACUUAGGAAAAACUAAAGUGACCUCUCAUUCGGAACCUAUGGAGUACUUCA
rnacentral:pre_miRNA from 1 species